UACGGGGGGGGCAAGCGUUAUUCGUAAUCAUUGGGCGUAAAGCGCAUGUAGGCUGUUAAUUAAGUUCUAAUUUAAAUCCUAAGGCCUAACCUUAGAUUAAGUUGGAAAACUGAUUAACUCGAGUCCCAUAGAGGAUAGUGGAAUUUCUUGGUGAGAGAUCAAAUUCAUAGAUCCUAGAAGGAAGACCAACGGCCGAGGCAAUUAUCUAGGUGGAGACUGACGCUGAUGUGCGAAAGCGUAGGGAGCAAACAGGAUUAGAGACCCUGGUAGUCUACGCUGUGAACGAUGAAUGUUAAAUAUUGGAAUAUUUCAGUAUUAAAAGCUAACGCCUUAAACAUUCUGCCUGAGGAGUACGGUCGCAAGAUUAAAACUCAAAGGAAUUGGCGGGGGUCGGCACAAGCGGUGGAGCAUGUGGUUUAAUUCGAUAAAACGCGCAAAACCUUACCAGUUCUUGACCGUUGAUUUAAUCUUUUAUUUACUUUAUGAAAGUUUCUUCUUUUAAAUCAUUUGUAACAGGUGUUGCAUGGCUAUCGUCAGUUCGUGUUGUGAAAUGUUUGGUUAAGUCCUUUUAACGAACGCAACCCUCAUUCAUGUCGCUGGCGCUUCUUUGAAGCACGCACUCACGAAAACUGCCGGCAAAAGCCGGAUGAAGGAGAGGAUGACGUUAAGUCCUCAUGACCCUUAUGAACUGGGCUACACACGUGCUACAAUGGCGACCACAAUGGGAUGCAAUGAUGUGAGUCGGAGCAAAUCUUUAAAAGUCGUCUUAGUUCGGAUUGUUCUCUGCAACUCGAGAAUAUGAAGUUGGAAUCGCUAGUAAUCUGCAGAUCAGCACGCUGCGGUGAAUACGUAAACUGGCCU
rnacentral:rRNA from 1 species